rnacentral:rRNA from 1 species
AUCCAGACUCCUACGGGAGGCAGCAGUGGGGAAUAUUGCACAAUGGGGGAAACCCUGAUGCAGCGACGCCGCGUGGGCGACGAAGCGCUCCGGCGCGUAAAGCCCUGUCAGCAGGGAAGAACAAAGACAGUACCUGACCAAGAAGCCCCGGCUAACUACGUGCCAGCAGCCGCGGUAAUACGUAGGGGGCAAGCGUUAUCCGGAUUCACUGGGCGUAAAGGGGGCGCAGGCGGCACGGCAAGUCUGGUGUGAAAGCCCGGGGCCCAACCCCGGGACUGCAUUGGAAACUGCCGGGCUGGAGUGCCGGAGGGGUAAGCGGAAUUCCUAGUGUAGCGGUGAAAUGCGUAGAUAUUAGGAGGAACACCAGUGGCGAAGGCGGCUUUCUGGCUCAUAACUGACGCUGAGGCGCGAAAGCGUGGGGAGCAAACAGGAUUAGAUACCCGCGUA